CAGCCGCCACGGUAAUAUGUAGGGUGCAAGCGUUAAUCGGAAUUACUGGGCGUAAAGCGUGCGCAGGCGGUUUGUUAAGACAGAUGUGAAAUCCCCGGGCUCAACCUGGGAACUGCAUUUGUGACUGGCAAGCUAGAGUGUGGCAGAGGGGGGUGGAAUUCCGCGUGUAGCAGUGAAAUGCGUAGAUAUGCGGAGGAACACCGAUGGCGAAGGCAGCCCCCUGGGCCAACACUGACGCUCAUGCACGAAAGCGUGGGGAGCAAACAGGAUUAGAUACCCCUGUAGUCCCUGUCUCUUAUAC
rnacentral:rRNA from 1 species